rnacentral:rRNA from 1 species
UCCGCCGGACCCGACUGCUAUCCGGGUAGGACUAAGCCAUGCAAGUUGAAUGGAAUACCUAAAUUUUCCAUGGCGUACCACUCAGUAACACGUGAUCAACUUACCCUAAAGCGGUGUAUAACCUCGGGAAACUGAGGAUAAUGCACCAUAUUUGAAAAUGCCUGGAAUGGUUUUUCAAUGAAAGAGUAAUCUGAAUGGAGAUUAUAUCACCUUAGGAUAGGAUCGCGCCCGAUUAUGGCUGUUGGUGAGGUAACGGCUCACCAAACCUAUUAUCGGUAAGGGCCGUGAGAGCGGUAGCCCUGAGUUGGGUACUGAGACAAUGACCCAGGUCUUACGAGACGCAGCAGGCGCGAAAUCUUGACAAUACACGAAAGUGUGAUCAGGUUACCCGGAGUGCUACAAAGUAGCUGUGGCAAGUGAGUUUAAUUCCUUGCUAGGAAGGAGAGGGCAAGGCUGGUGCCAGCCGCCGCGGUAAAACCAGCUCUUCAAGUGGUCGGGACUAUUAUUGGGCUUAAAGUGUCCGUAGCCGGUAUAGUAAGUUCCUGGUUAAAUCGGAUAGCUUAACUAUCUGUUGGCUAGGUAUACUGCUAUACUAAGGGGCGGGAGAGGUCUGAGGUACUCCAGGGGUAGGGGUGAAAUCCUAUAAUCCUUGGGGGACCACCAGUGGCGAAGGCGUCAGACUGGAACGCGCUCGACGGUGAGGGACGAAAGCCAGGGGAGCGAACCGGAUUAGAUACCCGGGUAGUCCUGGCUGUAAACGAUGCGUGCUAGGUGUUGGUAUGGCCUUGAGCCGUAUCAGUGCCGUAGGGAAACCGAUAA